rnacentral:misc_RNA from 1 species
UUGUGGAGGAGGACGCCGAAGGUGGGGCUAAUGACUGGGGUGAAGUCGUAACAAGGUAGCCGUACCGGAAGGUGCGGCUGGAUCACCUCCUAACAGGGAGACAACAAAAUGUUUAAUAUUAAUUUUGUCACCUUAGGUCGAUCGGUAUCUCACGUUCUUAAUUAAUUAAGAAUUUCAUUUUCUAAGUUUUUCUAGGUCACACCCAUUAUUUUCCUGGGCCAUUAGCUCAGGUGGUUAGAGCGCACCCCUAAUAAGGGUGAGGUCCCUGGUUCAAGUCCAGGAUGGCCCAUAUCUCUAUGUUGGGGGUAUAGCUCAGUUGGUAGAGCGCCUGCUUUGCAAGCAGGAUGUCAGCGGUUCGAGUCCGCUUACCUCCACUGAUCACCACCUCUGCCAUAUUAAUAAAGGAAAUAUUUUGAGUUGUGACCCAAUCUGAACGAAUCUAGCUUCCUAAUAAAAAUUAUUAAGAUGCUGGAUUCAUUGAAUUAAUUUCAUUGUUUUCAGAGAACCUUGACAACUGCAUAGAUUAUUUUUAAAGACAAUAAGCAUCUUUAGUGAUGCAGAUUUAUUAUUUGUGCAAAUGCAUUAAUAACAAUUCUAUUAAGCUGAUGCUUCAAUUUUGAAGUUAUUGGUCAAGCUACAA